rnacentral:tRNA from 1 species
GCCCAGGUGGCGGAAUUGGUAGACGCGCCAGCUUCAGGUGCUGGUGUCCGCAAGGACGUGGAAGUUCGAGUCUUCUCCUGGGCACCA